AUGCUCUUUUUAAUGCACCCCAGAUACGUCUCUGCUGUAUGAUGUACAAAUACACAGAUACAGGACGCUGAGCUAAGGCUUUUAAAAGAAAAAUCUUUUUGUCCACUGAGGAAGCAUCCAAAUUUUGUCCAAGAGCCUUUUCUGUCCUGGCUGGGAGUUUUAACAGGACGUCUGUUCUAAAAGCUACUUAAAGCACAUAUGUAACAAAAAGGACCACCAGAGAGCUGCCCAGAACUGUUUUACAUCCAGUCCAUCUUGAAGUAGUUUUGCAGAGUACACUGAGCCUGGAUUGUGACUGAGCUCACCUGAUUUCUGGAAACUGUCCUCAGGAGUGGGGAACAAGGGAACAGAAGCACCUUCCAGGACCGAACAUUAAAGAAGAGUCUGGACAAUCCUGUCAAAAGUGUUUCAUUAUCACAAUCUUUCUCUAGCAGAGGUUAAGGAUACUGAGUAAAUUGCAGAACUGUCCCUGAGUGUGGAUUUAUUUCACAGAGUCUUAAAGGAGAUUGGCUAUGCUUAUCAGCCUUGUUUACUACAAACAUUCAGAUGAACACUUACCUCAAUUCAGUUGUUCCUGAAGGUCAGCACACAGCAAGGAACAAUAUGUCUGUUAAUGACAUCUCUCAGAUAUGGUUUCUGCUGGUGACUUUUGUCUCAUUUGCAUACUGUGCCUUAUAUUAAUGAGAGAAAAUCUUUUCAGAAGCAGCAAGUGGCCUAGCAGCCUCUCUCAUUGUUGUGGGACUGCACAGCUGGCUGUUGGUGCUAAUACUGGCAAAGAUCUCCAAAGAGCUAAGUGCUCCCAUGAUUAAAUACUCUAAAAACCAAAACAGUGAUAGACAGGCGGCAAAAUCACUUGUCAUUCACUUGAGCUUCCAUGGCUAGGUUAAAAGAUUUUAGCUUAUUUACUUGUGGUAGGGGAUAUGGCUGAGGCUAAGUAAGAAAUGCAGAAUGAACUCUGGCAUUUCAGUGCUGCAGCAGGUAAUCGCCUUUUCCUUCAAACUGUAAUGGCCUGUGAGCACCCUGCAUGUAAGCCAUGAUGCAAUGAACACCUGUGCGAGUGCUCCUUCUCUGAGACAUAAAAUGUCUCUUCAAAUAUGGCACAGGCUCGGUGAGUACACCUGGGUGACUUGCCCCACUUGUUUGGACCAGCCCAUAAGUUCUGGCCCAGGUGAGAAGCAGCUAUGCUGCUAUCUUAAUAUCCAUGACUUAACAACAGCAGUAAUGCACAUAAUGACCAGAAACGUGUUGGUAAUGCCAUACGUUGCAAAGGUAAUGCUAAAUUUGGAGGCUUUGGAAAUGCCUGAGAGCUUUAGAAAUUAAGCACUUCAGGCUCCAAAUGCUGUUCUUGCUCUCCAGUUACUGUAGGUACGGAGGGCCAGAUUCAGAACUGAUUUAACUCUCCUGGUUUUAUAGAUGUGACUGAGAUAAACUUUGCCCUUAUUACUUGUUUUUCUUUUCAAGCUGUGUUGAAUUACUUUGGUUCUAUGUAGCUUUUUAUUACAAGGAACACAUAUUUGCUAUGCACCUCUUUCUGUCACCGUUUUGACAUACCAACCUCUUCUUUUCUCUCCAGGCAGUCUCUGGAGUGCCUGGAAGAACGUAACAGCUCAUUGACUUGCAAUGUGAUUAAUCCUUGGAUUAGCCAAAAUAUGAUGCAAACAGAUCCUGACCCAGUCCUGAAUGUUGUUCUUGCCUGUGCAUGCAGUGUUAGGUACCUUACAACUGUCUCAAAUUGAUCAGGACAUCCGGAUUUUGUAACCUCAUUUUAUAACUGUUCCUCUCUCUCUAAUUCCAUCCUGUGAAGUUCUGAGGAUAUGUAACAAGAAGCCACCCAGUUACUAUUCCUUGCAGCUAUCAGCCAGUGUCACCUGCUUCUUUGGCAUCAUCAUGCAAGCAUGCACUGUCACACUCCCCACUGGAAUGUCAGCUCGCGGGUUGAGAUUCACACCAUCACUCAGCCUGACAAGAGUGUUGACUCCUGGAGCCCAGAGCUGUAUUUGGGAGCACAUAAAAGCACCGGAGUCCCCUACGUCUUGGCAGGACUUCAAGGACUAUCCCAAUGAAGAGAUCUUGACAGCAUAGUUGUAAACUCCACAGGCCCCAAGGGCUCAAACACCAUGAUAUUAAUGCUAUAGACUGAAUUGCCAAGAUAGUAUCGCUGUUUUGUAGACAUCAGUCUCUGGGUAAGAAGCAGCAUUUCUUACACCUGUUAAUUGGCAUUUGCAAAAAACUGAGAUUGUCUGUAGUGGGCAGCGUGGCUGAGAAAGACAGGGCAUGCAGAGACUUUAUCUGUCGCUUCUUCUGUGCUCUCUUCAAAGAGACUUCAGCUGAUGGGUACCACAAAUAUUUGUGAAAGCCAGUAUUAACAUACUGCAUUAUUGACAUUUCUGAUAUAUUUAGGACUGUACUUCUACAGUUCUCUCAGUCUUUAUUACAGCCUCAAUCUAUGCAAAAACAAGCAAAUAAAUAAAUAAAUGAAAAAGAAAAAAAAAAAUCCAGAGCUUCUGAAUUGGAAACAGAUUUAGGAAGCAGCUAGAACUACAUGAGAUUACAUGCAGGCUUUCAAAUUAAGCAUGACCUAGGUAAAAUACUUUGCUGAACUUUAUCUCCCAUGGUAAUACUAUCUCUAAGGUAAGUUCUCCACAGGAUUUCACCAGAUUGGUCUGACUGAGGUUGUAAGCCCAAGUUUCUUUGUGCCAGAAAAAAGUAAGUAAAGUAUUAAUGCUGAAGAAGUGAAGCUGGAUGAUUUUUGGCAGGAGUCCUUCCAGCACUUCAGGCAGUGUGAGGUUAGCAGUGCUGCCAUUUCUUCCAAAACAGCCAGCAUUGAAAUUAAUUUAUGAAGUCAGGUGUUGACAGCAGAUUUUAGAAUCAGCCUGUUGAAGGGCAAUUAACACCUUUGAUAACUAACUUUUAAGUUAAUUUGUUGGGAAAAUCCUGAAGAAUUUCAGAAGACAUCCACACUACUUACUGUGAUCUUUGGGAUCUUUUCUAGAAAACUGUAAGGGUUAUAUUUUAACAUUAAAAAAAAAAAAGUUGGAUCAUGGAGGACAUAACUCUACAAACGAUAAGAUCCUUCCAAAAGAAGAAUAACAGAACAGGAUACACAAAACCCCUCUAAUGACUUCUAAUUCUGCUUUUCCAGAUAAAAGACCCGAUUUUCUUUCUGAACAAAUUCACUGUAAUUUGGAACGAUUUCAUUUGUUCUCAACAACUUUUAACAAAAACGCAGUCCAUGUUGCUAACGAGAAUCUCAACUUGAGAAGUCAUCGAGCCUGAACAUAUUCAGUAUUAUGUAAAGUUUCUAACGUGCUCUCAUCAAACAGUCCUGAGCAAGUCAUCAACUUAUUAGGAAAAAGUCUCUCCUGAUGAAUGUAAGAAAAAUGAGAACAAAGGGUAACUUUAUUUAAACAAAUUAGAAGUCGCUGAAAGCAGACAUUCUAAAAUACUCCGCGGCAGUAUUGCUCCAGCCCUCUCCCGGCCGCAGCAGAACCC